UACGGAGGGUGCGAGCGUUGUCCGGAAUCACUGGGCGUAAAGGGCGCGUAGGUGGCCACCCAAGUCUGUGGUGAAAGCUCGAUGCUCAACAUCGAGUCGGCCGCGGAAACUGGGUGGCUCGAGCACUGUAGGGGCAGAUGGAAUUCCGGGUGUAGCGGUGGAAUGCGUAGAGAUCCGGAAGAACCCCCGUGGCGAAGGCGGCUCCCUGGUCCGAUUCUGACGCUGAGACGCGAAAGCGCGGGGAGCGAACGGG
rnacentral:rRNA from 1 species